GACGAACGCUGGCGGCGUGCUUAACACAUGCAAGUCGAACGGUGACGGAGAGCUUGCUCUCCUGAUCAGUGGCGAACGGGUGAGUAACACGUGGGCAACCUGCCCCAGACUUCGGGAUAACGCUUCGAAAGAGGUGCUAAUACCGGAUACGAACUCCUUGGGCAUCCUUGGAGUUGGAAAGUUUUUCGGUCUGGGAUGGGCCCGCGGCCUAUCAGCUUGUUGGUGAGGUAACGGCUCACCAAGGCGACGACGGGUAGCCGGCCUGAGAGGGCGACCGGCCACACUGGGACUGAGACACGGCCCAGACUCCUACGGGAGGCAGCAAUGGGGAAUAUUGCGCAAUGGGCGAAAGCCUGACGCAGCAACGCCGCGUGAGGGAUGACGGCCUUGGUUGUAAACCUCUUUCAGCAGGAAGAAGCGAAAGUGACGGUACCUAGCAGAAGAAG
rnacentral:rRNA from 1 species